CCUACGGGUGGCAGCAGUCGAGAAUCAUUCACAAUGGGGGAAACCCUGAUGGUGCGACGCCGCGUGGGGGAAUGAAGGUCUUCGGAUUGUAAACCCCUGUCAUGUGGGAGCAAAUUAAAAAGAUAGUACCACAAGAGGAAGAGACGGCUAACUCUGUGCCAGCAGCCGCGGUAAUACAGAGGUCUCAAGCGUUGUUCGGAAUCACUGGGCGUAAAGCGUGCGUAGGCUGUUUCGUAAGUCGUGUGGGAAAGGGGCGGGGUCAACCGGCGGACGGCACAUGAUCCUUGGGGACUAGAGGAAUGGAGGGGGAACCGGAAUGGUCGGGGUAGCAGGGAAAGGCGUAGAGAGCGAGAGG
rnacentral:rRNA from 1 species